rnacentral:rRNA from 1 species
UGGGGAAUAUUGCACAAUGGGGGAAACCCUGAUGCAGCGACGCCGCGUGAGCGAAGAAGGCUUUCGAGUCGUAAAGCUCUGUCCUAUGAGAAGAUAAUGACGGUAUCAUAGGAGGAAGCCCUGGCUAAAUACGUGCCAGCAGCCGCGGUAAUACGUAUGGGGCGAGCGUUGUCCGGAAUUAUUGGGCGUAAAGGGUACGUAGGCGGUUUUUUAAGUCAGGAGUCAAAGCGUGGAGCUUAACUCCAUUAAGCACUUGAAACUGAAAGACUUGAGUGAAGGAGAGGAAAGUGGAAUUCCUAGUGUAGCGGUGAAAUGCGUAGAUAUUAGGAGGAAUACCGGUGGCGAAGGCGACUUUCUGGACUUUUACUGACGCUCAGGUACGAAAGCGUGGGGAGCAAACAGG